rnacentral:lncRNA from 1 species
CCCGGAUGGUGGGACUGGGCCCAGGUUCCCACCGCAUCGUCCGCCUCAGCCAGAACCUUCUGGUCCCCGCCCCCGGAUAGGGACCCAGGAGGCCCAAGCCCCUUCUUCCGGCGGGGAGUGGGAGCCUCUCGCACUCUCGGCAGCUCCAGACCCUCGGGAUCUCCGUUUACAGUUCAGGACCUCAGCUGCACUUUGGCGCUAACGCCCUGUUUCCCAGCUUCAAACAUACAUGCAGAACAGGAUGACUAUCAAAUACCUUUAUCAAGUUGAUGAGGAUACUGAAGUCUCGAACAGCCAUGUUCCAGUAGAGGAGUUUCUCUUCAUGAAUCUGCUGCGAGUCUGCUGCUGUGCCAGGCUCAAUUUUUUUCACCGUCUUCUCUAGUUCAGCCAUCAUCACACGGAAGAAAACAACAAAAGUAUGCCUGGUCAGUGUAGGGAAUGUGGAGGAAGAUGCAUCUUUAGGAGAGUUGAUCAGUUCUGGGACACCAACACCAGCAAUCUCCUCUAUGGCCUUCAGAAUGCUCUCUGUGUGCUCCAGGUAGAUACAGAGCAGAGCAUGGAGCUGGUCAUUAGAGAUGUUGCUCUUCUCUUUAUCCCCACUUGGCCACACCCGACAGAGGAAUUGUCUGGCAAGGGAAGCAAUUUUUUCUUUGUUCUGAGCAGAAGCUGUUGAUUUCUCCAAAAUAACCAUCAAAAGUCUGAUGAGAUAAAGAGCACACUGGAAACUGGGAAUGCUUUGAUGGAAAUUCUGCAAGUAAUGGACGCUCUGGCUGAGUAGUUCCUCCAAAGGCUGGCUGUGUUCUCCCUGUUUCAGUCGGCUACUAAGGACAUGGAGGGCUGAAUACAGUAAAUUCUGAUUUUCAGGUUGAGAAAAUCCACUCCAAGCAAAAAGCCCAUGAAAAAUCUGCAGCAGCCUCUGAUAGCAGGAAGACAUUAUGUGGUACUCCUGAACUUUCACUCCUGGUCCAUCAACUACACCGUGAUUCUCAGCAGCUAAACACUAAAAAUAAAAAUGAUUUUAGGAC